CGACGCUGGCGGCAGGCUUACACAUGCAAGUCGAACGCCCCGCAAGGGGAGUGGCAGACGGGUGAGUAACGCGUGGGAACAUACCCUUUCCUGCGGAAUAGCUCCGGGAAACUGGAAUUAAUACCGCAUACGCCCUACGGGGGAAAGAUUUAUCGGGGAAGGAUUGGCCCGCGUUGGAUUAGCUAGUUGGUGGGGUAAAGGCCUACCAAGGCGACGAUCCAUAGCUGGUCUGAGAGGAUGAUCAGCCACAUUGGGACUGAGACACGGCCCAAACUCCUACGGGAGGCAGCAGUGGGGAAUAUUGGACAAUGGGCGCAAGCCUGAUCCAGCCAUGCCGCGUGAGUGAUGAAGGCCUUAGGGUUGUAAAGCUCUUUCACCGAUGAAGAUAAUGACGGUAGUCGGAGAAGAAGCCCCGGCUAACUUCGUGCCAGCAGCCGCGGUAAUACGAAGGGGGCUAGCGUUGUUCGGAAUUACUGGGCGUAAAGCGCACGUAGGCGGAUAUUUAAGUCAGGGGUGAAAUCCCGCAGCUCAACUGCGGAACUGCCUUUGAUACUGGGUAUCUAGAGUAUGGAAGAGGUAAGUGGAAUUCCGAGUGUAGAGUGAAAUUCGUAGAUUUCGGAGGACACCAGUGGCGAAGCGGCUUACUGGUCCAUUACUGACGCUGAGGUGCGAAGCGUGGGGGAGCCAC
rnacentral:rRNA from 1 species